UGAUCCAUGUGAACAGCCGCUUGCGAGCGGGUCGCCAGCGAGCUGUGACCUCUUUUGUGUGAAAGCCAAUCAGAUACAAGCAUCUCCUCGGGGUCAAAGUAAUGGAGAAAAGUGUGACUCCACGUUUCCUGGUUACCGGUUUCGCUGGGCUAAACAAACCUUGAUUCGUCAAUUUAAAAAAAAAAAAAAAAUUUGUUUUUGAUAUCGCUAUUUCCGUAACUUACAUUGUAUAAUCCAGUUUUAUUUUGGGAAGACACUAAUACUAAAUAAUCUAUUUACCAUAUACCAUAGAGUAAGCAGUCAGCGCAGGGAUUGUGUUCAGAAAAUGGUCCAGUAUUUUGUUUCUCAGAUUGCAAUCAUCAGUGUCAGAUGCAAACCAUUUUAGAUUCUCCUGAAGACCUAAUGGAGAAAAAGGAUGGAUAAAGCCGGCCCGAUUCAGAUUAAUGUUACAGUAGUACUUUUUUAGCAAUAACAUUAUUCAUGUGCCUAAAGGAGUGUUUAAGUAAACUUAUUGAUUUCUUUUUAGCGUUUAAUAUAAAAUUAAACCAAUCCAGUCUGGCACAUGUACAUGAAAUAAUGAACAAAGUUAUAAUAAACUAUGGAAUUUGUAAAUUAUUUUAAA